UACGCAGGGUGCAAGCGUUAAUCGGAUUUACUGGGCGUAAAGCGUGCGCGGGCGGUUCGGAAAGAAAGAUGUGAAAUCCCAGAGCUUAACUUUGGAACUGCAUUUUUAACUACCGGGCUAGAGUGUGUCAGAGGGAGGUGGUAUUCCGCGUGUAGCAGUGAAAUGCGUAGAUAUGCGGAGGAACACCGAUGGCGAAGGCAGCCUCCUGGGAUAACACUGAUGCUCAUGCACGAAAGCGCGGGGAGCAAACAGG
rnacentral:rRNA from 1 species